rnacentral:rRNA from 1 species
GAUGAACGCUGGCGGCGUGCCUAAUACAUGCAAGUCGAGCGAACGGACGAGAAGCUUGCUUCUCUGAUGUUAGCGGCGGACGGGUGAGUAACACGUGGAUAACCUACCUAUAAGACUGGGAUAAUUUCGGGAAACCGGAGCUAAUACCGGAUAAUAUUUUGAACCGCAUGGUUCAAAAGUGAAAGACGGUCUUGCUGUCACUUAUAGAUGGAUCCGCGCUGCAUUAGCUAGUUGGUAAGGUAACGGCUUACCAAGGCAACGAUGCAUAGCCGACCUGAGAGGGUGAUCAGCCACACUGGAACUGAGACACGGUCCAGACUCCUACGGGAGGCAGCAGUAGGGAAUCUUGCGCAAUGGGCGAAAGCCUGACGGAGCAACGCCGCGUGAGUGAUGAAGGUCUUCGGAUCGUAAAACUCUGUUAGUAGGGAAGAACAGAUGUGUGAGUAACUGUGCACAUCUUGACGGUACCUAAUGAGAAAGCCACGGCUAACUACGUG